ensembl:lncRNA
CCCAGAGCCUGACACGGUGCAACGUGUGUCCCUCUGUCUCCUUGGUGAUCAACCCCAGGUGUCCAUAUGUGGAAGCAAAUGAUCCUCGACUGCCUCACCACCUGGAAGACCCUGACCUCACCCAAGCACCUCUACCCCAAAAGCCAGACAUUCCUCAAUGUCCCCCACACCACUUCCUAGAGAAAUAGGUUCCAUAGAGUCAAACUUGCUGCAAUUGGACCCUACUGCAUGCAACUCACUGCUAGUCCAGUUCCCUACCUCUGCAACUGAUCCAGAAUGUAGCAAUAUCUGGUGUUACAACCUUUCCUUGUUCUCCAAUGUCACACCACUCCUCCACUGGCUUCCUGAAGAUGCUUGCAUCAAAUGUAAUACUCUGUUGCUUGAUUCAGUGCAGUGAAGGUCACUCCUCAUCCUUUUGUCAACAGUGAACAUCUAAAUAGAGAAUAAGUGUGUGUUUGUUUUUCCAUGCCGCUGCCGCCUUCACCCCUAUUACAGUGCCUCUUUACAUGUUGCCUUGUGUGUGUUUGUGACUGAACUGAUUAACAUGUUACAAAUAUGAACUAUACACCCUUUGACACAAUCCCUGUCUCAAUGAUAGAUAACGUCCUGGAACUCUGAAGUGCUCCUAACAGCGAAUUAUUAUAUUUUCAUGUGUUUUUUGUCUUCUGCAGACAAAUAUAAUGUUCCACUUCGACAACAAAGUUUAGAUUAGUAUAGUGACAGAUUGAUUCAGGUUGGAAGUCAUAUCAGCUGAAAGUACAUUAGGCUUGUAGCGCAAAGAAUAGACACCUUCAUUUUGAAAUAGACAGAGCAUGCACAACAAAGUUUCAAUUUCUUAUUUUUGAC